UAAAUUUAAUUUCACUGAAAAUUUAACACAGAUUGAGUGAAAUCAGCCGCAUAGCAGUCAAUGUAGGGGUAAUGUUAACGACGUGUUAAAAAAACUUGUUAUAACAUUAAUGUUAUUGGACGUCCUAUUGGAGGUCAAAAAUCAACCAACUAAAAAGAUGUUUGCUGUUCAUAAAUGGUGUUAAGAACUAGCUAGCAAUCCGCAGUAACUGACGUGUCAGUCGGUCCAUUAACAGUUACUAGGUAACGUAAAUAGCUAGCUAGUUCACCAAUUUUUCUGCAUUUGUAGUUUAAAAAAAAAAGA